AUACGUAGGGGGCGAGCGUUGUCCGGAAUGAUUGGGCGUAAAGGGCGCGUAGGCGGCGCGGUAAGUCUGGAGUGAAAGUCCUGCUUUCAAGGUGGGAAUUGCUUUGGAUACUGCCGCGCUUGAGUGUCGGAGAGGUUAUCGGAAUUCCCGGUGUAGCGGUGAAAUGCGUAGAGAUCGGGAGGAACACCAGUGGCGAAGGCGGGUAACUGGACUGCAACUGACGCUGAGGCGCGAAAGUGUGGGGAGCAAACAGGAUUAGAUACCCUGGUAGUCCACACUGUAAACGAUGAAUGCUAGGUGUAAGAGGUAUCGACCCCUUUUGUGCCGGAGUCAACACAAUAAGCAUUCCGCCUGGGGAGUACGGCCGCAAGGUUGAAACUCAAAGGAAUUGACGGGG
rnacentral:rRNA from 1 species